UCUCCGUUGGUGGACCAGCGGAGGGAUCAUUACCGAGUGCAAACUCAUAACCCUUUGUGAACCUAUAUCUGUUGCUUCGGCGGCUCGCUCUCGGGCGAGCCCGCCGGUAAUAUCAGUAUCUCUGUUUGAACCCGACGAUACUUCUGAGUGUUCUUAGCGAACAGUUAAAACUUUUAACAACGGAUCUCUUGGCUCUA
rnacentral:misc_RNA from 1 species